rnacentral:rRNA from 1 species
AGAGUUUGAUUAUGGCUCAGGAUGAACGCUGGCGGCGUGCCUAAUACAUGCAAGUCGAACGAGGGUGCUUGCACCCUAGUGGCGAACGGGUGAGUAACACGUAGGUAACCUGCCCUUAAGCUUGGGAUACCCAGAGGAAACUUUGGCUAAUACCGGAUAACAACAGAGGAGGCAUCUCCUUUGCUUGAAAGGCCCUUCACGGGGUCACUUAAGGAUGGACCUGCGGCGCAUUAGCUAGUUGGUGAGAUAACAGCCCACCAAGGCAAGGAUGCGUAGCCGAACUGAGAGGUUGAUCGGCCACAUUGGAACUGAGACACGGUCCAAACUCCUACGGGAGGCAGCAGUAAGGAGUUUUCGGCAAUGGGGGAAACCCUGACCGAGCAACGCCGCGUGAGCGAUGACGGCCCUUAAUGGGUUGUAAAGCUCUGUUGUAUGCCAAGAAUGGUUAGCUUAGGAAAUGAAGCUGACUUGACGGUAGCAUACCAGAAAGCCACGGCUAACUACGUGCCAGCCGCAGC